UAUGUACGACUGGCGGAUAAGUGGGAUAACCCACAGGGAGUACAUAUGAUUUCAGAAGCCGACCGCCUGGGCAAG
rnacentral:ncRNA from 1 species